GUCAGCCUCUUCAGGCUAUGAGAAAAUUGGUUCAGUUGGUGUAAAACCUCUGGGAAUUGAUGGCCAGAUAUCCAAAUGCCACAUCUUUGCAUGCCCUGAUGGAAGGGCAGCACCAGGGGCUCUGGGUGCAGUCUGGUGGAAGCUGAGCAGGCAGCACCUCCCCAGCCAGGUUUGUAAGGGUGGCUUAAUUCCCAAGGAGUUCAGUGGUGCUGCCUGAGGAGAAAAGUUACAAAAAGAAAAGAAGUUCAGAGGGUGCUGGUGCUGUUGAAGCAGUAACACCACAUGAUACAAAACUGAGUAAGAGCAGCCAAAGUAGGGAACUACAGCUCGGGGUAAAUUUAAAGCUUGUUGAUUUCUUUGGUGCUGCCCAGGGAAGCUGCAAUUCCUUAAAAGAUAACCAAACCAAAACCCAACCAAACUUCAGUAACUGUAUUAUUACACAGCUGAUGGAAACUGCUUUUCUUUGUCGCUGCUCACCAACCAUGGAACUGCUGUCCAGACAUUCCCAGGCUCAGUUUUGGAGCAGAAAGCCACUGGAUAAAAUGGUCUUGGCACAGCAUUCAGGCUAGACUGAAAAUCUGUGGGUGCCCUGGGCAGACCCAGGCACCGUUAAAUGGUCACCCCUUGUUUCCCGCCUGGCAUCACCUCUGGAUCCUGUUAUUCCUCUGCCAGAUGGAGGAGCCCAUUAGCUGUGAUAGGCCAAUCAAAGAGCUCUAAUUGAUCUAGUGAUGUGGUUACUGGUGAUGACAAGGAGAUGAACUUGAUGACCCGGGAGGUCCUUUCCACUUUUGUGCUCUGUGGAGGCUAAUGCCAGAGUGAAUCACAGAUAUUUCUGUCCUGCAUCUUUGGAACCAGGCUCCAUGGCAUCUCCAGCUGUGCUUGGCAAGGCUAAGUGUGUUCCCUAAAAUCAGCACUCCAGCCAACAGCACAUGGACAAAACAUGUCCACGAUGGAUACAAGACAAAAAUAGCAUUUGGGCCCUGAGUGUUGUUUGCUGUGUCUAAUCCUGAGCCAGUGACAGGAGAACAGACCUGGACAGGCAAUAACUGAGCCAAGGAUGAACCUCUGCACUGAAGGUGGGACAGGCAGCAGCAGGG